GACGAACGCUGGCGGCGUGCCUAACACAUGCAAGUCGAACGAGGUCCAUCCUUCGGGAGAAGACCUAGUGGCGAACGGGUGAGUAACACGUGAGGAACCUGCCCCGAAGACCGGGAUAACCCUCCGAAAGGAGAGCUAAUACCGGAUACCCCCACCGAACCGCAUGGUUUGGUGAGGAAAUGGAUUCCGCUUCGGGAGGGCCUCGUGGCCUAUCAGCUAGUUGGUGGGGUAACGGCCCACCAAGGCAUCGACGGGUAGCUGGUCUGAGAGGACGAUCAGCCACACUGGGACUGAGACACGGCCCAGACUCCUACGGGAGGCAGCAGUGGGGAAUCUUGCGCAAUGGGCGAAAGCCUGACGCAGCAACGCCGCGUGGGGAUGAAGGCUCUCGGGUUGUAAACCCCUUUCAGCAGGGACGAAUCAAGACGGUACCUGCAGAAGAAGCCCCGGCUAACUACGUGCCAGCAGCCGCGGUAAU
rnacentral:rRNA from 1 species